CGCGAUGUAGCCCAGUCGAUAGAGCGCGGGACUCCUGACCCUGCCGUCGCCAGUUCGAGUCUGGCCAUCGCAACCA
rnacentral:tRNA from 1 species